rnacentral:rRNA from 1 species
GGCUUACACAUGCAAGUCGAACGCUCCGCAAGGAGAGUGGCAGACGGGUGAGUAACGCGUGGGAAUCUACCUAGUUCUACGGAACAACAGUUGGAAACGACUGCUAAUACCGUAUACGCCCUACGGGGGAAAGAUUUAUCGGAAUUAGAUGAGCCCGCGUAAAAUUAGCUAGUUGGUGGGGUAAUGGCCUACCAAGGCGACGAUCUUUAGCUGGUCUGAGAGGAUGAUCAGCCACACUGGGACUGAGACACGGCCCAAACUCCUACGGGAGGCAGCAGUGGGGAAUAUUGGACAAUGGGCGCAAGCCUGAUCCAGCCAUGCCGCGUGAGUGAUGAAGGCCUUAGGGUUGUAAAGCUCUUUCAGUGGGGAAGAUAAUGACGGUACCCACAGAAGAAGCCCCGGCUAACUUCGUGCCAGCAGCCGCGGUAAUACGAAGGGGGCUAGCGUUGUUCGGAUUUACUGGGCGUAAAGCGCACGUAGGCGGAUUGGUAAGUUAGGGGUGAAAUCCUGGAGCUCAACUCCAGAACUGCCUUUAAUACUGCCAGUCUAGAGUCCGGAAGAGGUAAGUGGAACUCCUAGUGUAGAGGUGGAAUUCGUAGAUAUUAGGAAGAACACCAGUGGCGAAGGCGGCUUACUGGUCCGGUACUGACGCUGAGGUGC